UGGGUCUUUUAGGUUUUGCAUUUUGUUCCCAUACUGUACCGAAAAUGAACCAAACCGUGACCUAAAAACCGAGGUAUGUACAGAAUUGUAAUUUUUGUGUAUCGUUACACCCCUAAUAUAU